rnacentral:rRNA from 1 species
GAGUUUGAUCAUGGCUCAGGAUGAACGCUGGCGGCGUGCUUAACACAUGCAAGUCGAACGGGCGAAUUAUAUCGGAGGUCUUCGGGCCGAAGAGAUAAUAAGCUAGUGGCGGACGGGUGCGUAACGUGUGGGUAAUCUGCCUUUGUCAUAGGAAUAACUGCUUGAAAAAGUAGCUAAUACCAAAUAACAUAUCGUAUAGGCAUCUAUAAGAUAUCAAAGAGAAAUCGGACAAAGAUGAGCCCGCAUCUGAUUAGCUAGUUGGUAGGGUAAAAGCCUACCAAGGCGACGAUCAGUAGCCGGCCUGAGAGGGUGAACGGCCACAUUGGAACUGAGACACGGUCCAAACUCCUACGGGAGGCAGCAGUGGGGAAUAUUGCACAAUGGGGGGAACCCUGAUGCAGCAACGCCGCGUGAGUGAAGAAGGCUUUCGAGUCGUAAAACUCUGUUGUAAGGGAAGAUAAUGA